rnacentral:rRNA from 1 species
AUGGCUGGAUCACGGCUGCUCCGGCGCACCAGCCGCCCUGUGGAGAUGAUGUCCAUUGUGCUCAAUGAUCAAGGCAUAGUUGACAGCCUUACUGAAAAUAAUCAGAGAAGCAUGUGGGCUAGCAGAAGGAUUGGGGAAGACGAACAACUCUACCUAGUCCACAUUCAGGGCAUUGCUGGCAUCGGUCUCCCGACCACGCUGGUCGUCAAGAAGUUCCAGAACUCGGACGGAAUAGUGGACGGUAAUCUGGAGAACCGCUGCAAGUCGGAGAUGAUCCUUUUAGCCAGCAUCCGUCACGACAACAUCGUCAAUGUCCUACACUUCAUCCAGAGGGAAAAUGCAAUCAUGCUCGUUUACACGUACCAGGUGAACGGCAGCCUGGACCAGUGGCUGCAUCGGCGGGAGGAGGGCGACCUGCCGCUGAGCUGGCCGCAGAGGAAGGCCAUCGCCAUUGGCGUGGCCCAAGGGCUCUGCCACUUACACCACGGAUCCAAUAGACCGAUUGUCCACCACAACAUCACCUCUAUCAACAUCCUGCUCGAUCAGAAUUUCAAGGCCGUGAUAGCCAGUUUUGGUGCUGCCCAGAUGAACAUGGCCGGGCUCGACCAACCAUUGCCUAUCGUGGGGGCUUUGUUUGGUAACUUUGGGUAUGCAGCUCCAGAAUAUGGGAGGGCCGCAAGCCAGCUGACGGAGAAGGUAGACACUUACAGCUUUGGUGUGGUGCUGCUGGAGCUCGUCACAGGGCGGGUGGCCAAUGGGGUGGAUGGUCAGUUGGCCAUAUGGGCUCGUGACAACUGCAGUGAGCUGAUGGCAAAGAAGCUGGAAUGGUUCGAGAUUGCUGUGGACAAGGGCAUCCCAGAUCAAGCACGGUACAUGGAGGAGAUGGCGAGCGUAUUCAGACUGGGUGUGGAUUGCACUGUCGAUGAUCCGCAGCAAAGGCCGUCCAUGCAGCUGGCUCUCAAACGACUCCACCACGGCUGUGGGCGUGGCCGAUUCGGUGGCCUUCUCACCUGCUAUAACCUGUAA